GGGCAGGUGAGGUUCGUUAGCCGUGGUAGGCAAUUCACCUAGGAGAGCAAACUCCGAACAAUAAACCCGGGCAGGUGGAGUUCGUUAGCGAAAGCAGUUCAUCUAGGAGAGCAAACUCCGAUUACAAAACCGGGCAGGUGGAGGUCGUUAGCGUGAGCAGUUCACCUAGGAGAGCAAACUCCGAUUUCAAACCCGGGCAGGUGGAGGUCGUUAGCGAAAGCAGUUCACUUAGGAGAGCAAACUCCGAUUACAAACCCGGGCAGGUGAGGCUCGUUAGCCGUGGUAGGCAAUUCACCUAGGAGAGCAAACUCCGAACAAUAAACCCGGGCAGGUUGGGCUCGUGAGCCGUCAUAGGUAAUACACCUAGGAGAGCAAACUCCGAACAUAAAACCCGGGCAGGCUGGGCUCGUGAGCCGUCAUAGGUAAUACACCUAGGAGAGCAAACUCCGAACAAUAAACCCGGGCAGGUUGGGCUCGUGAGCCGUCAUAGGUAAUACACCUAGGAGAGCAAACUCCGAUCAUAAAACCCGGGCAGGUUGGGCUCGUGAGCCGUCAUAGGUAAUACACCUAGGAGAGCAAACUCCGAACAUAAAACCCGGGCAGGUUGGGCUCGUGAGCCGUCAUAGGCAGUCUGCCUAGGAGAGCAAACUCCGAACAAUAAACCCGGGCAGGUGGAGCUCGUCAGCCGUGGUAGGCAGUCUGCCUAGGAGAGCAAACUCCGAACAAUAAACCCGGGCAGGUGGAGCUCGUCAGCCGUGGUAGGCAGUCUGCCUAGGAGAGCAAACUCCGAACAAUAAACCCGGGCUUGUGGUGCUCGUUAGAUGUCGUAGACAAUCCACGUGAUGGGAACACCAAAGAAAAGGAAAAUAAAAAGGAACACCAGAAAAAGGAAAAUAUAGUAAUAAAACAUCAAGAAAAUAAAAUUAAAAAAAACACAGAUCAUCCACCUUCAGGCCCUAACAUCUCCAAAAUUAUGGAUGAGUCUUUUCUGGGGAGAAAGAGGCUCAUCCAGACCAAAGAACAUCAACAAG